CCUACGUGCGGCAGCAGUGGGGAAUAUUGCGCAAUGGGCGAAAGCCUGACGCAGCGACGCCGCGUGAGGGAUGAAGGUCUUCGGAUCGUAAACCUCUGUCAGCAGGGAAGAACGGUCACUGUGCUAAUCAGCAGUGAAUUGACGGUACCUGCAAAGGAAGCACCGGCUAACUCCGUGCCAGCAGCCGCGGUAAUACGGAGGGUGCGAGCGUUAAUCGGAAUUACUGGGCGUAAAGCGUGCGUAGGCGGUAUGUCAAGUCAAGGGUGAAAUCCCCGGGCUCAACGUGGGAACGGCCUUUGAAACUGGCAAACUGGAGUGUGUGAGAGGAUAGUGGAAUUCCAGGUGUAGGAGUGAAAUCCGUAGAUAUCUGGAGGAACAUCAGUGGCGAAGGCGACUAUCUGGCACAUAACUGACGCUGAGGAGCGAAAGCGUGGGUAGCAAACAGGAUUAGAUACCCGGGUAGUC
rnacentral:rRNA from 1 species